CUCUUGCACCAUCCUCAACCCUCUCCAGCAUAGAAACUACUAAGCUAAAGGCUCUGUCAAGAAGCUGGUGGUGUGGCCAAGAAGAUAGGGGAAGACGACAGCCCUGGGCUGGAGAACGUCUCCACGUCCCAGAUGUGUCUGGUAGUAUGGUUUCCUCCUUCUGUGCCUGGGUAACCCCUCAGCCCAGCUGGCCACAGGGUUCUGGUCCCUUUCUUGGUCCCUCCCUCCCUCCCUCCCUCCCUCCUGUGAAGUUACACUCUGGGACACAAGCUGUGAGCAAUCUGCAGUCUACUGUCCCUGUGUAUUGGCAUUCUUAGCUUUUUUGACAAGCAGAUCCUUUGCUCCAGGCUGUAGCAAAACAAGCCUGUGGUUCUGAGCAAAGGAGAAGAAACUGACUUUAUUGCACUUUUAGUUUGGGGGUUUGUUUUUUUUAUUUUGUAAACAACAUGGCAGAUGCAUAUUGUGUCUGGUUAUAUUGGGGGGUUACUUUUUUCUUUUUUCAAGGGGGAUGGGCCAGCCAAGCCAUUCAGAGAAAAUGUGGGUCCAGAGGACAUUCUUGAUGGAAAGAGUCUGAUUUGCAGCACUUGGAAGAGAAGAAGCCAAACUCUGCGUCAUCCUGAGUA
rnacentral:lncRNA from 1 species